rnacentral:rRNA from 1 species
GUCCACGCCGUAAACGAUGAAUACUAGGUGUUGGGGAGCGAAGCUCCUCGGUGCCGCAGUUAACGCAAUAAGUAUUCCACCUGGGGAGUACGUUCGCAAGAAUGAAACUCAAAAGGAAUUGACGGGGACCCGCACAAGCGGUGGAGCAUGUGGUUUAAUUCGAAGCAACGCGAAGAACCUUACCAGAUCUUGACAUCCCCCUGACCGGUCCGUAAUGGGACCUUUCCUUCGGGACAGGGGAGACAGGUGGUGCAUGGUUGUCGU